rnacentral:tRNA from 1 species
AUGAAAAUCCGUUGGCUUUAAAGACCGUGAGGGUUCAAUUCCCUCUACCCCCA